UACGUAGGUGGCAAGCGUUUGUCCGGAUUUACUGGGCGUAAAGAGCGCGCAGGCGGUCGUUCAAGUCGCGUGUGAAAGCCCCCGGCUCAACUGGGGAGGGUCACGCGAUACUGAUCGACUCGAAGGCAGGAGAGGGAAGUGGAAUUCCCGGUGUAGUGGUGAAAUGCGUAGAUAUCGGGAGGAACACCAGUGGCGAAGGCGACUUCCUGGCCUGUUCUUGACGCUGAGGCGCGAAAGCUAGGGGAGCAAACG
rnacentral:rRNA from 1 species